CCUACGGGAGGCAGCAGUAGGGGAUAUUGCUCAAUGGGGGAAACCCUGAAGCAGCAACGCCGCGUGGAGGAUGAAGGUUUUCGGAUUGUAAACUCCUGUUGUUAGAGAAGAUAAUGACGGUAUCUAACGAAUAAGCACCGGCUAACUCCGUGCCAGCAGCCGCGGUAAUACGGAGGGUGCAAGCGUUACCCGGAUUCACUGGGCGUAAAGAGGGCGGAGGCGGGAUAGCAAGUCAGAUGUGAAAUCCUAUGGCUUAACCAUAGAACUGCAUUUGAAACUGUUAUUCUAGAGUAUGGGAGAGGUAGGUGGAAUUCUUGGUGUAGGGGUAAAAUGCGUAGAGAUCAGGAGGAAUACUCGUUGCGAAGGCGACCUGCUAGAACAUAACUGACGCUGAUGCGCGAAAGCGUGGGGAGCAAACAGGAUUAGAUACCCGGGUAGUC
rnacentral:rRNA from 1 species